GGGGGCGACACGGUUUCGACGGGGUCGUUCCGAGGUCGAGGCUGCGCGUCGCGGACGCAGCUGGCCGCGUCACCAAGCUGCAACGCCAUCAACUGGCAACCGUAACUACGCUCUGGCUGCUUAACCGCGGCUAGCGUUCCCCGGAAGCCCCGCCCAUGGCUCGCCGGUGCGAACGUCCUGAAGUGGGCUGGCCGUAAGGUUCGGACGUCGACCCCAAGGCGAGAACUUAGACGUCUAAGCGUCAGGCAGGCCGGUCGUCGAGCCAACCUGGCGACGAAAACCGAUCGACGACUACACGCGUAGACGCCCGUCCGAGGCGGUUCCGGACGCGGGUUCGACUCCCGCCGCCUCCACCA
rnacentral:tmRNA from 1 species